CCUACGGGUGGCAGCAGUGGGGAAUAUUGCACAAUGGAGGAGACUCUGAUGCAGCGACGCCGCGUGAAUGAAGACGUAUUUCUGUACGUAAAGCUCUAUCAGCAGGGAAGUAAAUGACGGUACCUGACUAAGACGCCACGGCUAACUACGUGCCAGCAGCCGCGGUAAUACGUAGGGUGCAAGCGUUAUCCGGAUUUACUGGGUGUAAAGGGAGCGUAGACGGCAGCGUAAGUCUGGAGUGAAAUCCCAUGGCUUAACCAUGGAACUGCUUUGGAAACUGUGCAGCUGGAGUGCAGGAGAGGUAAGCGGAAUUCGUAGUGUAGCGGUGAAAUGCGUAGAUAUUAGGAGGAACACCAGUGGCGAAGGCGGCUUACUGGACUGUAACUGACGUUGAGGCUCGAAAGCGUGGGUAGCAAACAGGAUUAGAUACCCCGGUAGUC
rnacentral:rRNA from 1 species